UACGUAGGGUGCAAGCGUUGUCCGGAAUUACUGGGCGGAAAGAGCGCGUAGGCGGUCCGAUUAGUUCGCUGUGAAAGUCCAGGGCUCAACCCUGGAAUGCCGGUGGAUACUGUCGGGCUAGAGUCCGGAAGGGGCGAGUGGAAUUCCUGGUGUAGCGGUGAAAUGCGUAGAUAUCGGGAGGAACACCAGUGGCGAAGGCGAUCACCUGGGGAUGUUCUGACGCUGAGGAGCGAAAGCUAGGGGAGCAAACGGG
rnacentral:rRNA from 1 species